AUUCCAUGGUGAGGACACUUUUGUAAAAGGUCCUUGAAUCUCUCUCAUGCAUCCGAUACCGCUUCAUGUUCUUUUUGGCGAAACAUCAUAAUUUCAUUUCUAAUUUU